UAUAAUGUCAUCCCCUGCUUUCCUUAACAGAAUUAGGAAAAAAAAAAUCUUGAUAGCAGAGGGAGGUGCAUGUAUGUUCCUAAUAUGAGAAAACCUCAUUGUUUAAAGAUGAAGAACGUGCUGACCCCCCAGUGCAAACUGUUGGCUUUUGCUAAUGCUAAAAGGAUGCUACCCACUUCAGUAACACACUACUUUUACCCAAAGUAAUUAAAAUAUCUCUAUUUUUUCUAGUGUAUUCACACGGUAAUUUUGAGGAUAUAUUCUGUAUAAUCAGUUUUACUGUUAUUUUCUUGUAAAAUAGGUUAUUUUGUUUCCGUUGCAGUUCUUGGCUCUAUUCUAGAGUGAAAGGGAAGCUCAGAAUGCAACUGAAAUUAUGCUUCCACAAAAGCAUUCAGUGUGGAGAGAAGAGUCAGGCAGCAGGUGGUUCCUCAGGUGCUGCUACCCACUUUGCAGAGGAAGCACACAAACAGCGAGCGGCAGAUCGGCACUGGGGACACCCGUGUGAUGUGUGCCCUGGAAGCGACAGCAGGAUCCAACCCACCUGCAAGAGGAUCCAACCCAACAGCCAUGUCCUGGCAGCUGUGUUCUCCUUGAUUCCAGGCAAACACACAAGCCUGAGAUGCUGUCUGAAGCCUCGGACUUCAUUUAACAAGUUGGAGUUGAGUUAGCACCUUCGAGC
rnacentral:lncRNA from 1 species